AGCGUCGCAAGAGAAGAAGUAAGCCAAGAUUGUAACAACUUAAAUCCUUUCCAUUAGUUUACACAUAUCAACGUAGUGCUGUACAGAAGUUCACAAUGGAGAAACAAUCGGGUUGAAUGAUGUGUGCCAAAAAUACUGUAGUAAUCUCAUUCAAUUUGACACUUUUUAGUCGCUUAAUGUUCGUGCAUAUAUUUAAAGUUAUCUACUUCCAGAGUAUAGACAUUACGGUUAAAAACUUUGGCGAGCAAAUUCUAGGUGUGCAUGCUCAAUUUUUUUAAAAACAAAGGG